CCUACGGGUGGCUGCAGUGGGGAAUAUUGGACAAUGGGGGGAACCCUGAUCCAGCCAUGCCGCGUGUGUGAAGAAGGCCCUCGGGUUGUAAAGCACUUUCAGUGAGGAAGAACGCCUGGUGGUUAAUACCCAUCAGGAAAGACAUCACUCACAGAAGAAGCACCGGCUAACUCCGUGCCAGCAGCCGCGGUAAUACGGAGGGUGCGAGCGUUAAUCGGAAUUACUGGGCGUAAAGCGCGCGUAGGUGGCUUGAUAAGCCGGUUGUGAAAGCCCCGGGCUCAACCUGGGAACGGCAUCCGGAACUGGCAAGCUAGAGUGCAGGAGAGGAAGGUAGAAUUCCCGGUGUAGCGGUGAAAUGCGUAGAGAUCGGGAGGAAUACCAGUGGCGAAGGCGGCCUUCUGGACUGACACUGACACUGAGGUGCGAAAGCGUGGGUAGCAAACAGGAUUAGAUACCCGUGUAGUC
rnacentral:rRNA from 1 species